rnacentral:rRNA from 1 species
AGAGUUUGAUCCUGGCUCAGGACGAACGCUGGCGGCGUGCUUAACACAUGCAAGUCGAACGAGAAUCUACUGAAAGAGUUUUCGGACAAUGGAUGUAGAGGAAAGUGGCGGACGGGUGAGUAACGCGUGAGGAACCUGCCUUGAAGAGGGGGACAACAGUUGGAAACGACUGCUAAUACCGCAUGACGCAUAGGGGUCGCAUGAUCUUUAUGCCAAAGAUUUAUCGCUUCAAGAUGGCCUCGCGUCUGAUUAGCUAGUUGGCGGGGUAACGGCCCACCAAGGCGACGAUCAGUAGCCGGACUGAGAGGUUGAACGGCCACAUUGGGACUGAGAUACGGCCCAGACUCCUACGGGAGGCAGCAGUGGGGAAUAUUGGGCAAUGGGCGCAAGCCUGACCCAGCAACGCCGCGUGAAGGAAGAAGGCUUUCGGGUUGUAAACUUCUUUUAAGAGGGAAGAGCAGAAGACGGUACCUCUAGAAUAAGCCACGGCUAACUACGUGCCAGCAGCCGCGGUAAUACGUAGGUGGCAAGCGUUGUCCGGAUUUACUGGGUGUAAAGGGCGUGCAGCCGGGUCUGCAAGUCAGAUGUGAAAUCCAUGGGCUCAACCCGUGAACUGCAUUUGAAACUGUAGAUCUUGAGUGUCGGAGGGGCAAUCGGAAUUCCUAGUGUAGCGGUGAAAUGCGUAGAUAUUAGGAGGAACACCAGUGGCGAAGGCGGAUUGCUGGACGAUAACUGACGGUGAGGCGCGAAAGUGUGGGGAGCAAACAGGAUUAGAUACCCUGGUAGUCCACACUGUAAACGAUGAAUACUAGGUGUGCGGGGACUGACCCCCUGCGUGCCGCAGUAAACACAAUAAGUAUUCCACCUGGGGAGUACGAUCGCAAGGUUGAAACUCAAAGGAAUUGACGGGGGCCCGCACAAGCGGUGGAUUAUGUGGUUUAAUUCGAAGCAACGCGAAGAACCUUACCAGGGUUUGACAUCCUGCUAACGAAGUAGAGAUACAUUAGGUGCCCCUCGGGGAAAGCAGAGACAGGUGGUGCAUGGUUGUCGUCAGCUCGUGUCGUGAGAUGUUGGGUUAAGUCCCGCAACGAGCGCAACCCCUAUUGUUAGUUGCUACGCAAGAGCACUCUAGCGAGACUGCCGUUGACAAAACGGAGGAAGGUGGGGACGACGUCAAAUCAUCAUGCCCCUUAUAUCCUGGGCUACACACGUAAUACAAUGGCGGUCAACAGAGGGAAGCAAAACCGCGAGGCAGAGCAAACCCCAAAAAGCCGUCCCAGUUCGGAUCGCAGGCUGCAACCCGCCUGCGUGAAGUCGGAAUCGCUAGUAAUCGUGGGUCAGCAUACCACGGUGAAUACGUUCCCGGGCCUUGUACACACCGCCCGUCACACCAUGAGAGUCGGGAACACCCGAAGUCCGUAGCCUAACCGUAAGGAGGGCGCGGCCGAAGGUGGGUUCGAUAAUUGGGGUGAAGUCGUAACAAGGUA